AUUGAACGCUGGCGGCAGGCCUAACACAUGCAAGUCGAGCGGCAGAAGAGAGAUAGCUUCUGGAUACAGCGGCGGAGGGGCGGGUAAUGGCUAGGAACAUGGCUGGCAGCGGGGGAUAACGGGAGGAAACGGGGGAUCUUACCCUAAAAGCCCAGAGGGACUAAGUGGGGAAUCAUCGGAUCUUCCGACAUCACACGAGCCUAGGUCGGAUUAGCUAGUUGGUGGGGUAAAGGCCUACCAAGGCGACGAUCCGUAACUGGUCUGAGAGGAUGAUCAGUCACACUGGAACUGAGACACGGUCCAGACUCCUACGGGAGGCAGCAGUGGGGAAUAUUGGACAAUGGGCGAAAGCCUGAUCCAGCCAUGCCGCGUGUGUGAAGAAGGUCUUCGGAUUGUAAAGCACUUUAAGUUGGGAGGAAGAGCAGUAAGUUAAUACCUUGCUGUUUUGACGUUACCAACAGAAUAAGCACCGGCUAACUUCGUG
rnacentral:rRNA from 1 species